GUAGUUUGAUCGUGGCUCAGGACGAACGCUGGCGGCGUGCCUAAUACAUGCAAGUCGAGCGAGGGUUUUCGACCUAGCGGCGGACGGGUGAGUAACACGUAGGCAACCUGCCUCUCAGACCGGGAUUAACAGUAGGGAAACUUAUGCUAAUACCGGAUAGGUUUUUGGAUUGCAUGAUCCGAAAAGAAAAGAUGGCUUUUGGCUAUCACUGGGAGAUGGGCCUGCGGCGCAUUAGCUAGUUGGUGGGGUAA
rnacentral:rRNA from 1 species